AGAGUUUGAUCCUGGCUCAGAUUGAACGCUGGCGGCAUGCCUUACACAUGCAAGUCGAACGGCAGCACGGGAGCUUGCUCCUGGUGGCGAGUGGCGAACGGGUGAGUAAUACAUCGGAACGUACCCUGAAGUGGGGGAUAACGUAGCGAAAGUUACGCUAAUACCGCAUAUUCUGUGAGCAGGAAAGAGGGGGAUCGCAAGACCUCUUGCUUUAGGAGCGGCCGAUGUCGGAUUAGUUAGUUGGUGAGGUAAAGGCUCACCAAGGCGACGAUCCGUAGCGGGUCUGAGAGGAUGAUCCGCCACACUGGGACUGAGACACGGCCCAGACUCCUACGGGAGGCAGCAGUGGGGAAUUUUGGACAAUGGGCGCAAGCCUGAUCCAGCCAUGCCGCGUGAGUGAAGAAGGCCUUCGGGUUGUAAAGCUCUUUCGGUGGGGAAGAAAUUGCUUCGGUUAAUACCUGGAGUAGAUGACGGUACCCGCAUAAGAAGCACCGGCUAACUACGUG
rnacentral:rRNA from 1 species